rnacentral:lncRNA from 10 species
UCAGGGUUCAGGAGUUGUUAAUCCCGGAUUCAGAUAAUAAUAUCCAAAGGCAAUCAGGGGACAUUGAACCAGCUGGAGCUGAAGGCUCCUCUCUGUGGGCCUUGGAAGGAGGGGCCUCUGCAUUCCUCCGCCUGCCAUAGGCUGGGCCUGCAGCAAGUGCUCAACUACAGUGGGAAGAAUGGCUGAGUGAAGGAGAGACCCUCCCAGACUACAGUAAGUUCCUCUGCUGAUAGACCCUUGAGGGUAGCUAUCACCAUUGGAAAGAGCAAACAAAUCUUGGGAACAAGUUAACUUCUGGGGGAUUUCUGCUGUCUUUAAAUAGAUGCAAACAAAUAACAAAGAAGGAGGAGGAGAAUCAAUAUGGAUUGGUUCACAGGACCCACAGCAGAGGGACAGCUGGGUCUUUGAGUGAAGAGCUAAACAGUGGUGAUGUCUGAAUGGUCUUGAGUUUUCAGGUA